CAAUAGCGUAUAUUAAAGUUGUUGCAGUUAAAAAGCUCGUAGUUGGAUUUCGGGGCAGCCUGGCUGGUCCGCCGCAAGGCGAGUACUGGUCAGCCGCCCUUCCUCUCGAAAGCCCCGACUGCUCUUUAUUGCAGUGGUCGGGUAGUUCGGGACGUUUACUUUGAAAAAAUUAGAGUGUUCAAGGCAGGCCUACGCCUGAAUACAUUAGCAUGGAAUAAUGGAAGAGGACCUCGGUCCUAUUUUGUUGGUUUCCAGGACCGAAGUAAUGAUUAAGAGGGACAGUUGGGGGCAUUCGUAUUUAAUUGUCAGAGGUGAAAUUCUCGGAUUUAUGAAAGACGAACAACUGCGAAAGCAUUUGCCAAGGAUAUUUUCAUUAA
rnacentral:rRNA from 1 species